AAACGUAGGAGGCAAGCGUUAUCCGGAUUUAUUGGGCGUAAAGCGUGUGCAGGCGGUUUGGCAAGUUGGAUGUGAAAGCUCCCGGCUUAACUGGGAGAGGUCGUUCAAAACUGCCAGACUAGAGAAUGGAAGAGGGAGGUGGAAUUCCGGGUGUAGUGGUGAAAUGCGUAGAUAUCCGGAGGAACACCAGUGGCGAAAGCGGCCUCCUAGGCCAUUUCUGACGCUAAGACACGAAAGCUAGGGUAGCAAAUGGGAUUAGAGACCCCGGUAGUCCUAGUUGUAAACGAUGUAGACUUGGCGUUGGCGGAGUUAAAUCUGCCAGUGCCGUAGCUAACGCGUUAAGUCUACCGCCUGGGGACUACGACCGCAAGGUUAAA
rnacentral:rRNA from 1 species